rnacentral:rRNA from 1 species
AUGAGACUGAGACUUGGAAAAAAUGUACUUACUCUCAGUGAAACCGUGGUCUCCGCAUUCAGCUGGGAGAUUAUGAGCCACCGCCGACUCUUCCUCGCUACUCUGUCCGUGCUGCUUCUGGCAGCGUCGGGCGUCGCCGCGAACAACACAUUGACACGGCGGAGUGCCAUCGGCGGCGACCAGAGGCUGGUCUCGCCGGGGGACAUCUUCCAGCUCGGCCUCUUCCCCAUCGCCAACGGCACCAAGUGGUACCUCGGCAUAUGGUUCACCGUCUCCCCGGCCGCCGUCAUCUGGGUCGCCAACCGCGACCGCCCGCUCAACGCCUCCUCCUCCGGCACAGUCACGCUGAGCGGCGCAGGAGACCUCGUGCUCCUCGACGCCGCAAGCAACAACGAGACCGUCUGGUCGUCCAACUCCUCGGCCGCGGCGCCGUCUGCGGUGGCGCAGCUCGACGACAACGGCAACCUCGUGCUCGCGGACGCGGCCGGCGCCGUGCUGUGGCAGAGCUUCGACCAUCCGACCAACACGUACGUGUCCGAGAUGCGGAUCGGGAAGGACGUCGGGACCGGGGCCGAGUGGUCCCUCUCGUCGUGGCGCCACGCCUACGACCCGUCAGCCAGCGACUUCCGCUACGUAAUGGACACACGGGGCUCGCCGGAGCUGCACAUCUGGAGGAAGGGACGCAAGACGUACCGGACGGGGCCGUGGAACGGGCUGCGCUUCAGCGGCAUACCGGAGAUGGCCACCUACAAGGGCAUGUUCGAGUUCCAGUUUACCGACACCGCCGACGAGGUCUCCUACAUGUACCACGCGUGCGACGGCUCGCCGCCGUCCCGCGUUGUCCUCCAUGAGUCUGGUGUGAUAAAGCGCAUGGUUUGGGACAGCGCGGCGCUCAGGUGGAGAAGCUUCUGGUCGGGGCCGAGGGACGAGUGCGACCGGUACGGCGUGUGCGGCGCGUUCGGCGUCUGCAACGAGGUGGACGCCGUGGUGUGCAGCUGCGUCUGGGGCUUCCUGCCGAGGUCGCCGGUGGAGUGGGGCAUGCGGAACGCGUCCGGCGGGUGCGCCCGCAGCACGCCGCUGCAGUGCGGGGGCGGCGCCGGCGACGAGGACGGGUUCCACGCCCUGCGCGGCGUGAAGCUGCCUGAGACGCACGGCAGCAGCGUGGACGCCGGCGCCUCGCUCGAGGAGUGCGGCCGGAGGUGCCUGGCCAACUGCUCCUGCACGGCGUACGCCGCGUCGGACAUCCGUGGUGGUGGUGGAGGGAGCGGGUGCAUUCUGUGGUUCGGCGAGCUGGUGGACACGCGGUUCAUCGACGGCGGGCAGGAUCUCUUCGUCAGGCUGGCAAAGUCCGACCUAGACACUGCGACUGCAUCUACAGAGCCAGUCAAGACUAAGAAGUUUGUCGCAGUCAUCACUAUAUUGAUAAUAGGGUUUGGGUUACUUCUGCUAUGGCUUGGCUUCUUGAUUUGGAAAAAGGUCUGGCGCAGAAAAGAAGCUACCAUGUUUGAUGACAUCAUGAGAGGCGACUGCCCGACAUACCAUUUUGAAACCAUUAGAGCCGCCACCGGUGGAUUCUGCCCCGAGAAUGAAAUCGGGCGUGGUGGCUUCGGCAUUGUUUACAAGGGUCAAAUGCAAGAUGGCCAGGAAAUUGCAGUGAAGAAGUUGUCAACUGAUAACAGAGUGCAAGGCCUGAAAGAGUUCAAGAACGAGGUGGACCUAAUUGCCAGGCUGCAACAUCGCAACCUUGUACGCUUGCUUGGCUGCUGCAUCCAUUGCUCUGACAGGAUACUCGUCUACGAGUACAUGAGUAACAAGAGCUUGGAUAGCUUCAUCUUUGAUCUGAGGAGGCGUGCCACUUUGAGCUGGAAGACUAGGAUGGACAUCAUCCUUGACAUUGCCAGAGGGCUUCUCUACCUUCACCAGGACUCGAGGCACACUAUGAUCCACCGAGAUCUCAAGGCGGCCAAUGUUCUCCUUAAUGGGGAGAUGGCCGCCAAGAUAUCGGAUUUCGGAAUCGCAAAGCUGUUCAGCAGCAUCGGCAACAACCAGGAUUCCACCGUCACGGAAAGGAUUGUUGGGACAUAUGGUUACAUGGCACCCGAGUACGCCAUGGAUGGCAUGGUAUCAUUCAUGCAGGAUGUGUACAGCUUUGGUGUGUUGCUGCUGGAGAUCGUCAGUGGGAGGAGGAACCAACGAAAUUUCAACCUCAUAGCUCAUGCAUGGAAGCUAUUUGAAGAAAACAAAUGCCUCAAGCUCCUUGACCCAACUGUGCGCGAUCAAUGCUUCCUAGCGGAGCUAGAGCAGGCAUCGACGUGCAUCCAGGUAGGGCUGUUGUGCGUUCAAGAGAGCCCGAGCCAACGCCCGCAAAUGGCUGUUGUGAUCCCCAUGCUGUCACAGCAUCAGGUGCCAUGGCGGCCACUUCGGCCGGUGGUCUGCGUGCCGGUGAGCACUCCGGCCGACCUUCGCGACAUGAAGGAGGACACGUCGGGCAACUUCGAGAUGAUCAUUACGGACCUUGAAGGCCGGUAG